rnacentral:rRNA from 1 species
UACGUAGGCAGCGAGCGUUGUUCGGAAUUACUGGGCGUAAAGGGUGCGUAGGCGGUGCUCUAAGUCUGUCGUGAAAUCCCCCGGCUUAACUGGGAGGGUGCGGCGGAAACUGGAGUGCUAGAGUGUGGGAGAGGUAAGCGGAAUUCCCGGUGUAGCGGUGAAAUGCGUAGAUAUCAGGAGGAACACCUGCGGUGUAGACAGCUUACUGGACCACGGCUGACGCUGAGGCACGAAAGCGUGGGUAGCAAACAGG